rnacentral:rRNA from 1 species
CACACGACUCUCGGCAACGGAUAUCUCGGCUCUCGCAUCGAUGAAGAACGUAGCAAAAUGCGAUACCUGGUGUGAAUUGCAGAAUCCCGCGAACCAUCGAGUUUUUGAACGCAAGUUGCGCCCGAAGCCUUCUGGUUGAGGGCACGCCUGCCUGGGCGUCACGC